ACACACACACACACACUAACACACAUACACAAACACACACACUAACACACAUACACUAACACACAAACACACAUAAACACACACAUACAUACACUAACACACACAUACACUAACACACAAACACAUACACUAACACACACAAACACAUACAUACACUAACACAUACAUACACUAACACACACAUACACUAACACACAAACACACACACAUACACAAACAC